GAUAUACCUUGCAAUUGAAAACAUGCUAUUGGGCCUAUAUAAGAGCCUGUUUCAGCCGAAGCCGCUCACAAUAGUUCUAGACAGCGACAACAGCAGUCGUCCUUCCUUAGCAGCAGCACUAGCCCUGUGGUUGGUCACCACGUCUCAGGAGCAGCGCGGUUCUUCUCUGCGUGUGUCGCCAUAAAAAAAUAAUUGAAGGAUGCAAACGCCUAUAGUCAUCACUCAUUCAUCUUGUACUGCAAUGAGUUUCGAAUAUUGGAGGUUCGCAACGGAAAACAGUGUCAGGGCUUUUGUUGCCGAGGAAAUGACAAUAUUACCGCUCGAGCUGCCGCAUCGGCUUUCGAUAAACGGGAGAAGCAAAUUGCACCGUGCAUAACGAUGAAUACAGUCCCAAUAACAAUGGCAAAAUUCGUGUCAUGUCCCCCGCAGGUUGAAGGAGGUUGAACUUCUCGGUUAUUGUUUCACAGAAGCUAAUUAAGUGACAGUCGACAACAGUUUAAGUUAUAAUGAGAUUCCAAGUGUUUUGCCGUGAAAAUACAGUCGGCGAGAGCGUUCGUUCCGACUUUGAGUACUGACCUUCGGAGUGGUGGGCUCAAAUUUCAACCGAUUUGGAGUUUUCACGAACGCAAGCCGAUGAAGGGCACUUUAAUCCGCUUAACGGAAGGAAGCAGGAAAUAUUUGCAGGCUUGGACCGGAAACAAAACGCGUUCAGGAAAAGUACUGAGAUCAAUAGCUUGCGAUUAUACUGGCUGGCAAUGUUGCUAUAUUAUUUGUGUUGAGUUUGUAACACUGUUACGGAGGAAGAGGCACGAAGUAUAUGGACACAGGUCAUACGGAUGUUAAGCAUAAUAUGCUAUGCAAAAUGGUGAAAUUAUUUAUUUAUUUAUUUAAGUAGGAUUACGUCUUUGUUUUCUAUACUGAGGUACAUUUUGUAAAAGUGAAAAUAAAAUUGGCCAAAUAUUA